rnacentral:rRNA from 1 species
GAUGAACGUUGGCGGCGUGCCUAAUACAUGCAAGUCGAGCGAACGGAUGAGAAGCUUGCUUCUCUGAUGUUAGCGGCGGACGGGUGAGUAACACGUGGAUAACCUACCUAUAAGACUGGGAUAACUUCGGGAAACCGGAGCUAAUACCGGAUAAUAUUUUGAACCGCAUGGUUCAAAAGUGAAAGACGGUCUUGCUGUCACUUAUAGAUGGAUCCGCGCUGCAUUAGCUAGUUGGUAAGGUAACGGCUUACCAAGGCAACGAUGCAUAGCCGACCUGAGAGGGUGAUCGGCCACACUGGAACUGAGACACGGUCCAGACUCCUACGGGAGGCAGCAGUAGGGAAUCUUCCGCAAUGGGCGAAAGCCUGACGGAGCAACGCCGCGUGAGUGAUGAAGGUCUUCGGAUCGUAAAACUCUGUUAUUAGGGAAGAACAUAUGUGUAAGUAACUGUGCACAUCUUGACGGUACCUAAUCAGAAAGCCACGGCUAACUACGU